UCUUGGUUUGAUACAACUGGUGAAGGAUUCCAUACAUCACGGUUUACUCUUUUUAGGGGCUUCUCUACUCUAGAAUCAGAAGAAAAAAACUGAAUUUUAUUACUUUUCGCCAUAUGGAAAAGCGCACAAAUGGAGGUGGAUCUGCUCUACUGAUGUGUAUUUCCUUGCAGGCUUAAAAAUGUUGGAUAAAUUUUUUGCGUGUCCUAACCGGCUAUGCCAGACAUCUUCACUUUGAACAUUGCCUUUUUGAGAAGAAAGUGCUAAACUCUCUGCUUUCCAACAUAUAGAGAUCGUUAGGAUCUUUGGCCACCACUUUCUGAUUAGAGAUAUCGAUAAUACAGACUUUGUUAGCAUCAAAAAUACACUCCCAAGGAUGAUCAUCACAUAUUUUAGACACUGAUAAUAACAAUUUCUUUAUAUCCGGACAGAUAAAAACCUUAUUUCAUUGAAGGUUACCUGAAAAAGUGGUGAGCGUAGUGCAUCCUACAUAUGUGUUAUUGGGAGAAAGGUACCAUUG
rnacentral:lncRNA from 1 species